GGGCGUGUGGCUCAGUGGUAGAGCGUCCGCUUUGCAUUUCUUGUGCUCGAAAGGGCGUGAAUUACACAAAUUGCGGAAGGUCCGGGUUUCGAUCACCCGCCCGUCCA